rnacentral:rRNA from 1 species
GAUGAACGCUGGCGGCGUGCCUAAUACAUGCAAGUCGAGCGAACAGACGAGGAGCUUGCUCCUCUGAUGUUAGCGGCGGACGGGUGAGUAACACGUGGAUAACCUACCUAUAAGACUGGGAUAACUUCGGGAAACCGGAGCUAAUACCGGAUAACAUGUUGAACCGCAUGGUUCAACAGUGAAAGACGGUCUUGCUGUCACUUAUAGAUGGAUCCGCGCCGCAUUAGCUAGUUGGUAAGGUAACGGCUUACCAAGGCAACGAUGCGUAGCCGACCUGAGAGGGUGAUCGGCCACACGGGAACUGAGACACGGUCCAGACUCCUACGGGAGGCAGCAGUAGGGAAUCUUCCGCAAUGGGCGAAAGCCUGACGGAGCAACGCCGCGUGAGUGAAGAAGGUCUUCGGAUCGUAAAACUCUGUUAUUAGGGAAGAACAAAUGUGUAAGUAACUAUGCACGGCUUGACGGUACCUAAUCAGAAAGCCACGGCUAACUACGUG